AGUGAACGUUGGCGGCGUGGAUUAGGCAUGCAAGUCGAGCGAGAACCGUAGCAAUACGGGGACAGCGGCGAAAGGGACAGUAAUGUGUAGGUACCUACCCCCGGGUUCGGGAUAGCUGCGGGAAACUGCAGGUAAUACCGAAUAAUGUCUCCGGACCAAAGGUGUGAUUCCACCUGGGGAGGGGCCUGCAUCCUAUUAGCUUGUUGGUGGGGUAACGGCCUACCAAGGCGACGAUGGGUAGCGGGUGUGAGAGCAUGACCCGCGUCAUUGGGACUGAGACACUGCCCAGACACCUACGGGUGGCUGCAGUCGAGAAUCUUCGGCAAUGGGCGCAAGCCUGACCGAGCGACGCCGCGUGCGGGAUGAAGGCCUUCGGGUUGUAAACCGCUGUCGUAGAGGAGGAAAUGCAGGGGGGUUCUCCCCUUUGCUUGACCUAUUCUAGGAGGAAGUACGGGCUAAGUCCGUGCCAGCCGCCGCGGUAA
rnacentral:rRNA from 1 species